GACGAACGUUGGCGGCGUGCUUAAUACAUGCAAGUCAACUGAAGCAGUGGUAGCAAUAUCGCUGUGGAGGUGGCGCACGGGUGAGUAACACGUAGGUAAUCUGCCUUCAGGUCUGGCAUAACUCCGGGAAACCGGGGCUAAUAGCAGAUGAUGCAGCAGCUCGACAUCGAGACAGUUGUUAAAGCUAUGGCGCCUGAAGAUGAGCCUGCGUCUGAUUAGCUAGUUGGCGGGGUAACGGCCCACCGAGGCAACGAUCAGUAGCUGGUCUGAGAGGAUGAUCAGCCACACUGGAACUGAGACACGGUCCAGACCCCUACGGGAGGCAGCAGUAAGGAAUAUUGCUCAAUGGGAGAAAUCCUGAAGCAGCAACGCCGCGUGAGGGACGAAGGGCUUUUGCUUGUAAACCUCUGUAGUGAGAGAAAAAAAUCCCAAUCUUUGGGACAUGAUGGUAUCUCAAAAGUAAGCCCCGGCUAACUACGUG
rnacentral:rRNA from 1 species